UUAGUCGAGUAUGCCUGAACUUGAUUUUAAAGUGGCUAAACUUGCUAAAGAAUUAUAAAUUUCGGCUAGACGUUAAAUAGGGUACCAAAAUUGGCUAUAUCUGCACUUCCCCGAAAAAUAUAGGCUAUAGUAGCCCGUUGACAACUAGCUGUUAACUCCUCUAUACGCCAGAGGGAGAUAUACAGAGAGAGAAACUGAGAGAUGAAGGCGAUCCUAGAAGGAGAGAAGGUAACAUUGGUACCUUACAUGAGAGAGCAUGUCCCAAAGUACCAUGAAUGGAUGCAAGACCCUUUUCUCCUCCAAGCUACUGGUUCCGAACCCCUCUCCCUUGACCAAGAAUAUGAAAUGCAACUUUCCUGGACCCAAGACCCCUUAAAGCAGACUUUCAUUGUGUUGGACAAGGAACUAAUCGUUGGAAAAUUCAUUCCUGGAGAACCCCAUGUUGAAGGACCGUAGUACGAGACAGACGAUUGGCACAAGGUGUGAAUCACAAGGCUUUUACUACCUUAAUUCACUCAAUCCCUCUACACCGUGUCUAUUUACAGAUUCUUCGGACCUAAUUCACAGACGUUUAGGACAUCCAAGUUUAUCCAAGCUUUAGAAGAUGGUGUCUAGUUUGUCUACAUUAGAUUGUGAGUCGUGUCAGCUUGGGAACAUACCCUAGCCAUCUUUUCGUGUAGUAUUAAGAGUCGUGCAGUGCCUCUUUAGUUCAUUCUGAUAUAUGGGGUCCUAGUAGAAUCAGUUCAACCUUAGGGUUUCGUUAUUUUGUUAGUUUCAUUGAUGAUUAUUCCAGAUGUACUCUGCUUUUCUUAAUGAAAGAUCGUGUUGAGUUGUUUUCUAUGUUCCAGAGUUUUUGUGCUGAAAUAAAAAAUCAAUUUGGUGUUUCUAUUCACACUUUUCGCAGUGAUAAUGCCUUAGGAUAUUUGUCCUCUCAAUUUCAGUUGUUUAUGACUUCUCAAGUAAUUAUUCAUCAUAUAUCUUGUCCUUAUACCCCUCGGCAAAAAUGGGGUUUAAGAGAGAGAAUACGCAUCUCAUUGAGACUGCUCGCACACUUUUUAUUCAGUCCCAUGUUCCGUUGCGUCUUUGGGGCGAUGCAGUUUUCAUAACUUGUUACUUGCUUAAUCAAAUGCCUUCAUCUCCUAUCCAGAAUCAAGUCCCGCUUUUAGUAUUGUUUCCACAGUCACCCUUAUACUCUCUUUCCCCUUGUGUUUUUGGGAUGACAUGUUUCAUUCAGAACUUCGCCCCUAGGAAAGAUAAGUUAGCUCCUCGUGGUUUCAAGUGUGUCUUCCUUGGUUAUUCUUAUGUUCAGAAGAGAUCGUUGCUAUUUACCCGAUCUUCGUAGGUACCUUAUGUAUGUCACAGUUUUUGAGUCUCGUCCUUACUUUACCUCUUCUGAUCAUAGUGAUAUGUAUGAGGCCUUACCUAUACCGACUUUUGAGGAGUCUCUUUUUGCUUCUCCUAUAUCCCUAGCCACGAAAGUGUUACUCAUACCGACUUUUUAGGAGUCCACUGUUGCUCCUCCGACAUCCCCAGCUGUAGGUACACCACUCUUGACUUAUCGUCGUCGUCUGCGUCCAGCAUUAGGCCACACUGAUUCACAUCUUGUACCUGACCCCUGCUCCUACUGCAGACUUGUCCCCUCCUAGUCCACCGAUUGCACUUCAGAAAGUCUAUAGGUGAAGCAUUGUCUCAUCCAGAAUGACGACAUGCUAUGAUUGAUGAGAUGUCUGCUUUACAUACGGGUGGUACUAGGGAGCUUGUUGCUCUUCCUUAAGGUAAAUCUGCUGUUGGUUAUCGUUGGAUUUAUGAUAGCCAGGUUGAUCGACUUAAGGCCAGUCUUGUUGCCGAUGGGUAUACUCAGAUAUUUGGGCUCGAUUAUAGUGAUACUUUUUCUCCCAUGGCUAAAGUAGUAUCAGUCAGAUUUUUUCUAUCCAUGCUAUUGUUCGCCUUUGGCCUCUCUAUCAGUUGGACAUUAAUAAUGGUUUCUUCACAGUGACCUUGAGGAUGAAGUUUAUAUCGAGCAACCACCUUGUUUUGUUGCUCAGGAGGAGUUUAGUGGCCUUGUAUAUCGGUUGCGCCAAUCACCUAGGGUCUAAAGCAGUCUCCUCGAGCCUGAUUUGGUAAGUUCAACGCAGUUAUUCAGGAGUUUGACAUGACUCGUAAUGAAGCUGAUCACUCUGUAUUUUAUCGGCAUUCUGUUUCAAUUCUCUGUAUUUAUCUGAUGGUUUAUGUUGACGAUAUUGUUAUUAUCAGCAAUGAUCACGAUGAUAUUACUAAGUUGAAGUACCAUCUCUUUCAGCACUUUCAGACUAAGGAUCUGGGCAGAUUAAAGUAUUUUCUGGGUAUUGAUGGCACUUAGUCUAGCUCAGGUAUUGUGAUCUCACAACGGAAGUAUGUCUUAGACAUUCUUGAGGAGCCAUGAAUGACAUGCUUUAGACCUGUUGGCACUUCUAUGGAUUCGAAUUCUAAACUUCUGCCUGGCAGGGGGAGUCGCUUAGCAAUCCUACAAGAUAUAGGUGGCUGGUUGUUAAAUUAAAUUAGCUCACAGUAACUAGACCUGACAUUCCUUUCGUGUGAGUGUUGUGAGUCAAUUUAUAGAUUCUCCAUGUGAUAGUUAUUGGGAUGCAGUUGUGCUCAUUCUUUGGUAUAUAAAAUUAGCUCUAAGCAAAGGAUUAUUGUUUGAGGAUCGGGGUCAUGAACAAAUCGUUGGAUACUCAAAUGCUGAUUGGGCAUGAUCACCUUCUGAUAUAUGAACAAAAUAUGGUUGCUCGAUUUAGUGCAGAAGCAGAACAUCGAGCAGUGGUUAUGGCAACACGUGAGUUAAUUUGGAUCAAACAGUUACUCAAGGAGUUGAAAUUUGGUGAGAUCAGCCAGAUGGAACUUGUGUGUGAUAAUCAAGUUGCCUUACAUAUUGCAUCAAAUCCGGUGUUCCAUAAGAAAACUAAACACAUUGAGAUUGACUAUCACUUCAUCGGAGAAAAGAUACUCUCUGAAGAUAUUGUUACAAAGUUUGUAAAGUCCAAUAAUCAACUUGCAUAUAUUUUCACCAAGUCCCUCGCUGG